rnacentral:rRNA from 1 species
AUUGAACGCUGGCGGCAUGCUUUACACAUGCAAGUCGAACGGCAGCGCGGGCUUCGGCCUGGCGGCGAGUGGCGAACGGGUGAGUAAUACAUCGGAACGUGCCCAGUAGUGGGGGAUAGCUCGGCGAAAGCCGGAUUAAUACCGCAUACGACCUGAGGGUGAAAGCGGGGGAUCUUCGGACCUCGCGCUAUUGGAGCGGCCGAUGGCAGACUAGCUAGUUGGUGGGGUAAAGGCCUACCAAGGCGACGAUCUGUAGCUGGUCUGAGAGGACGACCAGCCACACUGGGACUGAGACACGGCCCAGACUCCUACGGGAGGCAGCAGUGGGGAAUUUUGGACAAUGGGCGAAAGCCUGAUCCAGCAAUGCCGCGUGUGUGAUGAAGGCCUUCGGGUUGUAAAGCACUUUUGGCGGGAACGAAAAGGACUGUGCCAAUACCACGGUUCGAUGACGGUACCCGCAGAAUAAGCACCGGCUAACUACGUG